UACGUAGGAGGCGAGCGUUGUCCGGAAUUACUGGGCGUAAAGCGCACGUAGGCGGCUUUGUAAGUUAGAGGUGAAAGCCCGGGGCUCAACUCCGGAAUUGCCUUUAAGACUGCAUCGCUAGAAUCGUGGAGAGGUAAGUGGAAUUCCGAGUGUAGAGGUGAAAUUCGUAGAUAUUCGGAAGAACACCAGUGGCGAAGGCGACUUACUGGACACAUAUUGACGCUGAGGUGCGAAAGCGUGGGGAGCAAACAGG
rnacentral:rRNA from 1 species